rnacentral:rRNA from 1 species
GACGAACGCUGGCGGCGUGCUUAACACAUGCAAGUCGAACGGAAAGGCCCUGCUUUUGUGGGGUGCUCGAGUGGCGAACGGGUGAGUAACACGUGAGUAACCUGCCCUUGACUUUGGGAUAACUUCAGGAAACUGGGGCUAAUACCGGAUAGGAGCUCCUGCUGCAUGGUGGGGGUUGGAAAGUUUCGGCGGUUGGGGAUGGACUCGCGGCUUAUCAGCUUGUUGGUGGGGUAGUGGCUUACCAAGGCUUUGACGGGUAGCCGGCCUGAGAGGGUGACUGGCCACAUUGGGACUGAGAUACGGCCCAGACUCCUACGGGAGGCAGCAGUGGGGAAUAUUGCACAAUGGGCGGAAGCCUGAUGCAGCAACGCCGCGUGCGGGAUGACGGCCUUCGGGUUGUAAACCGCUUUCGCCUGUGACGAAGCGUGAGUGACGGUAAUGGGUAAAGAAGCACCGGCUAACUACAUG